GAGGCUGUAGCUCAGUUGGUAGAGCGUUUGCCUGGCAUGCAAUGCCCUAGGUUCAAUCCCUGGCACCCAUG
rnacentral:tRNA from 1 species